rnacentral:rRNA from 1 species
UGAGGAACAUGACCUUCGGCGGGGGAUAGCCGGCCCAACGGCCGGGUAAUACCGCGUACGACCUUUUGGGGACAUCCCUGAGUGGUGAAAGCAGCAAUGCGCCGAUGGAGUGCCUCGCGGCCUAUCAGCUAGUUGGUGAGGUAACGGCUCACCAAGGCGACGACGGGUAGCUGGUCUGAGAGGACGAUCAGCCACACUGGGACUGAGACACGGCCCAGACUCCGUACGGGAGCAG